GGGGAUGUAGCUCAAAUGGUAAAGCACUUGCUUUUCAUUUAAGAGCUACUGGGAUCGAUACACCGCAUUUCCAAAUUAUGUGAGAGGUAUGAGGUUUGAUACCCCGCAUCUCCA
rnacentral:tRNA from 1 species